CUUACACAAUGAGUCAGGUGCCUGGGUGGGUUAUCCAGUGGUCUUCGGCUUCUCAGGCUAAAGGAAAAACAUUGGCUUUUACAAAUAACUGUGACAUAGGAAGGUCACCUUUUCAUCCUGGUGCUAACACCAGCUGGAAUGGCAGUAUUACCAGAAUAAAAUCCUGAAAAGAAACGCAGGUCUCUUGAAGUAUGAAGCUUGAUGCUGCCUCCAUCCUUCUUCCUCGAAUCAUGCUGGCUCUCCCUCAGCAAAGUACUGCCUCUCCCUCCAGGAAGAUUGUUCCACAACCAGAGCAUGCAAGGUAGGCCAGGCUCAUGCUGUGGUUGGGCCUUUCUCAUGGCUUUCUCUGUCAUGUAUGA